rnacentral:lncRNA from 1 species
GAGCAACAUAGCACGGCAGAGAAUCCUGUCUACAGGCAGAAAUGGCAUAUGUCUCUGAGUCUGCAGUGCCAUGAGUGGUGCUUUUGAAUAGGCUUUUUUCCCACUGUUUAUUUUUAUUAUUGUAAUUCUUGUAAAGUUGUCACGCAGGCUCGUUAAAGUGCCUUGUUCUUUGGAGGGGCAAGGGGAACUGUUUUUGUUUGGAAAAGUAUGGCCUUCUUCUGCUGCUGCUGUCCCUCCGUCCCAGAUUCUUUGAGAGAGAGGGAGCCUCUCAACUCACAGAGUGCCAGGCAAUGUCAUCAAGGUCCCAGUAAAGUUCAAUGCAGCAAAGACAAGCCGAUCACCAUGAAACGGGUGGACGUUCCUGAUAUUGAUGUACUCUUCACCGACAUUGCCAAAAGUUUCAACAAGCAGCAAAGCAGUUGUUUGGCUAUCCGGGAAAUCCUCCAAAACCUGAAAGAGACCUAUUGCUGUUCACCUGCAAGCAGUCUUUCGGUGUGCAUAGAAAAGAUAAAGCAGGAACAUAGUGCUUGUAAUAUGCAGGUGCAUAUGAAGGGAUACAAGUUUUGGCUGGAUGUGAGAGAGAAAGAGGUCCCUGAGAAACUGGAAUGGACUCAACGGCAGGUGGGAAAACUGAACCGUGCCACUAUAGGAGUUACCAGUAUGGAAACAAAACUCCAGGAAAUGAUUUCCUCAGUACUUCAAAACCAGGAAAAGUUGGUAGACACAGUGAAACUUGCAAACUCAGAGUACCUAGACCAGAUACGGCUAGAAGAAAACCUGAAAGAAAAUAUUGAGAAAGUAAGUCUAGCCAAACAGUUCUCGAAGCUCUAUAGAGAAGAAGCCAAUAAUGUGCUUAGGGAAAUGUCCAAGUCAGCAAGCUUGACCUUGUAAAAAGAUACAAGAACGAACCUGUUCUCUUCUGUCUCUCUUAGCACAAAGAUGAAUGAACGUGCUUGUGAUCGGAAAGUCUUUUUGGCUAUGCAGUACUUUAAGCCAGAAAUGGUCUUUUGGAAGUUGUGGAAGUGCAAUGGCUAUCUUACCUGGCCAUUGG